GGUUCUCUACUUUCCUGGCUUGGGUUGGUGUUCGAAGGCACCAUUUGGAGGAAGUACUUGGAAAGUAGUCACGAUUGGUACCUCAUGCUGAAGAGCCUUGCACAUUUACUGGAUUUUGUGCUUGUCCAUCUCCUACCGCUUCACAAAGAAAGUAUGAACCAAUUUUAUCCUGCAAACCAGAAACAGGAACUGAAUGGGCCUCUAACCAGACCUCUGAUACAGGAAGUAGGGCACAGUUCUUAUAGCCACCAGAGGGGAACUGCCCUAUAAACAGAGAACUCCCAAAAGGCAGGCUCCAGCCAAGGCCACUGGUGAGACAAGCCUGUGUUAUGCACUUAUAUAAUACACAGGCUUCACCUAGAGAUGGAACCAGCUUGAACUACCAACUGAUAAUGUCUCAAGUAGACAAAAGGUGACCAAAUUAAGGAAAGAAACCAGGAUCCUGGGAGCCUAGGAAGCAGAGCUGGUCAUGACAACAUGCAGUUGAUGAUGUGGGGGUGAAAAGCUGAGUAAGAGAUUGCAAUCUGCAGUGAGCCAAGGCCCGGGCGGAUGUGAAGGCUGGUGGCAAGGAAAUGGGAAGCGGGCAGCCAAGCUAACCCUGUGUCCACUGAGGGAGUGAGGUGGCCUUGAGCACAGCAGUAUCCCUGGGUCUUACAUCAGCAGGAAAUAGAAGGGGAAGAAGCCUAAAGGAAGUGAAAGUGUUGCUGGAUCUCCUGCUGGCAUUGCCUCCUCUUUCACACAGCAUCCUGGUUCUCCCUGCAGCCACCUGAUCUUCCCUUUGUCCCCUACCUCACCACAGUCCCACCCCUUUCACCACUCCAAGUUGAUGCUUCUCCUACAUCUGGCCAAGAUGCUACUCAGAGCUAGAUGAAAGCAAAAGUAAUUGCUCUAAUACAGGUUUUAGGUUUCAGAAACAGAAUUUUCCCGAAUGUUUAAAAUGGUGAAUGGUUCCAUACACUGUGUUAACCAGGCUUCUUAUAAGCUAGUCCCAGAAUCUGCCCACCAUGUGCAAUAACGUUUCUACAAAAAGUGUGCUCCAAGCAAGAACCUUCAACCAUUUAAUCUGAAUGAAUGAAUAUAACCUCUUCAA